rnacentral:lncRNA from 1 species
UCUUUUUAUGAAUGUUAUAAAGUUUGAAUGCAGUCAGAUUGGUGAAAAAAGAUUUACCAGUAAUAUUCUUGUAAAAGGCUGUCUACCACUAACAAUCUGAAAGCAAUUAACUUAUCAAGACAGCAAGUGAAGAAGACCAACCAAGGUGAAGCCCCCCCUUUUUUUUGUGGGAAAAAUGUGGUUGACUAUUUGAGAAUUAUCUGAAGCAUGAUUGGAGUGAGUGCCCACUUAGGCAGUCAGUGAAAAAUUCUGGAUCCACCACUCAACACUUUCCACAGAUCCUACUUUUAUUUAAAUAUUGAGUUUAAUUCAUCUCUACAUUUUUCUAAAUAGGGAUUCAAUUUUAUCCAAGAUCAAGGGUUUGUUCUUUAAUAAUACUACUAAGUUUGCAUGUGAAUGGGCAGUUAAAACAUAUCUUUAAAUAUUGUGAAUUGUAUUCAAUAUUUUCAAACUUCAUGGGUAUAUUCUUUAUUAGGUACAAUCUGACAGUAUUUGACAACUUUGAAAAUAUACUACAUUUAGAAGAAAUUGAACUUGGAAUUAUUCCAUUAAAAUCAAUUAGAAUGAUCCUAAUUAUAUUCCAAAUGUAAAGUUUUUAAAAAACAUGAAUAAUCUGAUGCCUUCUUUACUCUCAUCCAAGUUUAUUGGUUCACCUUAUAAAAAUGAAUCUAUCUGAAUAAAAGGAGGAAAGGGAUAUUUACCUUAGUUAGUACAGUCUAACCACUUAUUAAAGUCACAUUUUGAAUCAACCUGUCAGACCCCUUUCUUUUUUCCCCAACUGUAGUAAAAGCUAAACAUUUUGAACUUCAAUUAAAAAAUCUUCUCUUUUCUUAGCUUCAUUUUCUCUGGGUCCACCUUUAUUUAAAGGUUGUAAAAGCUUAACACUUUGGACUUCAUUAAAA